AUUGAACGCUGGCGGCAUGCCUUACACAUGCAAGUCGAACGGUAACAGGUCUUCGGAUGCUGACGAGUGGCGCACGGGUGAGUAAUACAUCGGAACGUGCCCGAUCGUGGGGGAUAACGAGGCGAAAGCUUUGCUAAUACCGCAUACGAUCUACGGAUGAACGCGGGGGAUCUUCGGACCUCGCGCGGACGGAGCGGCCGAUGGCAGAUUAGGUAGUUGGUGGGAUAAAAGCUUACCAAGCCGACGAUCUGUAGCUGGUCUGAGAGGAUGAUCAGCCACACUGGGACUGAGACACGGCCCAGACUCCUACGGGAGGCAGCAGUGGGGAAUUUUGGACAAUGGGCGAAAGCCUGAUCCAGCCAUGCCGCGUGCAGGAUGAAGGCCUUCGGGUUGUAAACUGCUUUUGUACGGAACGAAAAGCCUCUUUCUAAUAAAGAGAGGUCAUGACGGUACCGUAAGAAUAAGCACCGGCUAACUACGUG
rnacentral:rRNA from 1 species